rnacentral:lncRNA from 1 species
CCUACCCUCCUCAUUCUUCUUCCCCAUCUCAAACCCUUAGAGACCAGAACCCCAAAAUCCUAGCCGCCUCUAGGCAAUUUGCACUAGAAACCCGGCGGCAACGACGCCGUCGGUCACCCCGUUAACACCACAGAACCCCCAUCACACCCUAAAGCCAAAUCCACUAACCCCUAACCUCGAAUCAAGCAGAACCUUCUUGAAUCUUCAUUUGAAGAUUCGAGCCCAGAUUCAACUCACACCAAAGCACCCCAAAUCAAUACCAAGCACUCACCUAACAUCUCUCGUACCUAAACCAACAAGGUUUUGGUUCGAAUCUGACCUGAAAAGGUCGAA